rnacentral:lncRNA from 1 species
CGUGAAAGGAGUUUGAUGGAUCGUAGAAGUUUCUAAUUGAGCGGUUCCUGUCUUAAAGUCCCACCCCUUGAACCUUCUAUUGCUAUCCAAACUUGUCUUUAUCCCUGAACUUGGAAAAUUAACUCUUGACUCUGUGGGGCUAUUGCUACUACUACUGGAACUGCCACCGCUUGUUGUGGAUUCGUUCGAUGACUCAUCAGAGUCAAACACAGGGGACCCAUCUGACUCAUAUGGAUGUUCAUCAAACUUCCCAUUCUUUUUCUUUAUCAAGCAUGUCAAAUACUUUCCUUUUUCUAUAGUCCCGAGUUUCUUAUCUGACUUUACCGUGUUUUCAAAGGUUAUUGCCGAGUCAUAAUCAGAAUUAUUCCUAAGCUUCAAUAACAACCUUAGACAAACCUGUAAUAAAGUAUUACUCGCCUUUGUUAAAAAUUAAUUAAUUAAUUUAUGGGUGUUGGUUUCCACCUUGGUUUGCAAACAAUUGAUUUUUGGUGGAUAAAAAGAGUUAAUAUGAUUUCAUUAACAAUUUAAGAUUUAAUCACUAACGCAAUUACUCAAAUCUCUUAAAACUACACAAAUCUUGGUGGUUUUGCUAAGAAUUUAAGCUACAAAUAUUCAUGUUAUAGUUAAAAAGAAAAACAAAAGACAAGUCUUUCUGCCAUUGAUCCGAUAAAUAUAUGGAAAAUCUUAAGAUCCGACCACAUAUCAUUUAUGUCCAUAAAUCAAGUCUAAUAAUAUUAGUCGUGAAGUGAUGUGUUAAGUCGAAUAGGAGAUGACCUAAGAAUGUAUUUAUAGUAAUGAAGUGAGCUUGUGAAAUGGGUUUGACCAAUUAAUAAAAAGCAAUUAAAAUUACAUAAUUAAUUUUAGUAAUGAAGAAAACAAUGGAGCGUACCAAAAGGGUAGCUUCGAUGAUUAAUCCAUUGACCUUCAACCGUAUAGGAAGCUUCCUUUGAACAUUGGAUUCGGUCUUCAUCUCCUCCAUCGCUAGAGUCAUACAAACUUUUCCGACCACCACCAUUUUACCUUUUGAUUCUUCCCCACCACCCUGUCCCUAUACACACAUCAACUAAAUAAACAAAAUAUUAUAUAGAAAAAUGAAGUUAGAAACAGAACAAGAUGUUCCUAUCUUACAUAUAAGACAUUAAAUGUGACAUGGCAGAUAUCUUUGAGACCAAGGUUGAAGGCACAGAGGUCAUGAUUGUCCCAAACGUGAGAAGGAGUUUUCCCAGCAGCGACGAAUCUACGACAGGGAGUGAUAUGACUGCAGGGUGGUUUUAAGGUACGAUGAAAGGGAAUCAUACAAGAAAAAGAAGAAGAAGAAUUUUCAUUGCAUUUCUUAAUCCAUGUUAUUUCAAUGGCUAAUUUGUCAUUUACAGUAGUGGCCACGUUGACUCCAAAAAGUCCUAACUCAAGCUUUAAUUGGUUCACCUUCACUGUGUGCUUGUUGCUUUGAUUUGAGGCCAACCACCACUUCUUCAUCAUCAUCGCCAUGGCUCCUUCUUCUUCUUAUUCUUCUUGCUAGCACAAGCUAGCUAGGGUAAUAGUAUUAUAUAAAUUUGAUUUGAUGAACAAGUCAUGGAUUAAUAAUAUAUUUGAUGAGUACAAAAACAUUUAGGAAUGAAUUGACAAGCGU